UACGUAGGGGGCAAGCGUUGUCCGGAUUUAUUGGGCGUAAAGAGCGUGUAGGCGGUUUGGUAGGUCCGCUGUGAAAACUCGAGGCUCAACCUCGAGAUGUCGGCGGAAACCAUCUGGCUAGAGUCCGGAAGAGGAGAGUGGAAUUCCUGGUGUAGCGGUGAAAUGCGCAGAUAUCAGGAAGAACACCCGUGGCGAAGGCGGCUCUCUGGGACGGUACUGACGCUGAGACGCGAAAGCGUGGGGAGCGAACAGG
rnacentral:rRNA from 1 species